GAUGAAGAACGUAGCGAAAUGCGAUAAGUAAUGUGAAUUGCAGAAUUCAGUGAAUCAUCGAAUCUUUGAACGCACAUUGCGCCCCUUGGUAUUCCGAGGGGCAUGCCUGUUCGAGCGUCAUUAUAACCCCUCAAGCUUAGCUUGGUGUUGGGGCCUGCUGUAAUAGAGCAGCCCUUAAAAUCAGUGGCGGUGCCAUUAGGCUCUAAGCGUAGUAAUUCUUCUCGCUAUAGGGUUCUGGUGGAUGCUUGCCAUUAACCUCUAAUUUUCUAUGGUUGACCUCGGAUCAGGUAGGAAUACCCGCUGAACUUAAGCAUAUCAAUAAGCGGAGGA
rnacentral:misc_RNA from 1 species